rnacentral:rRNA from 1 species
UUUAAAUGUAAAAUAAAUAUACUAAAGUAGUAUUAGUUAUGUUCUUGAAAUUUAAAGAUUUUGGCGGUAUUUUAGUCUAUUUAGAGGAGCCUGUUCUAUGAUUGAUAAUCCACGAUUAAUUUUACUUAAUUUAUAUAAAUUUGUAUACCGUCGUUAUAAGAAGAUUUUAAAAGAAUAUAAAUUUUUAAUAUUUUAUAUAAAAAAAUAUAUCAGAUCAAGGUGCAGUUUAUAAUUAAGAAGAAAUGGGCUACAAUAAAUUUAUUUAUUAAUAUGGAUUAAAGUAAGAAUUUGACUUUAUGAAGGUGGAUUUAAUAGUAAUAAAAUUAAUUUAAAUUUUAUGAUUUUAGCUCUAAAAUAUGU